GGUGCUAUACAUGCAAGUCGAGCGAACGGACGAGAAGCUUGCUUCUCUGAUGUUAGCGGCGGACGGGUGAGUAACACGUGGAUAACCUACCUAUAAGACUGGGAUAACUUCGGGAAACCGGAGCUAAUACCGGAUAAUAUUUUGAACCGCAUGGUUCAAAAGUGAAAGACGGUCUUGCUGUCACUUAUAGAUGGAUCCGCGCUGCAUUAGCUAGUUGGUAAGGUAACGGCUUACCAAGGCAACGAUGCAUAGCCGACCUGAGAGGGUGAUCGGCCACACUGGAACUGAGACACGGUCCAGACUCCUACGGGAGGCAGCAGUAGGGAAUCUUCCGCAAUGGGCGAAAGCCUGACGGAGCAACGCCGCGUGAGUGAUGAAGGUCUUCGGAUCGUAAAACUCUGUUAUUAGGGAAGAACAUAUGUGUAAGUAACUGUGCACAUCUUGACGGUACCUAAUCAGAAAGCCACGGCUAACUACGUGCCAGCAGCCGCGGUAAUACGUAGGUGGCAAGCGUUAUCCGGAAUUAUUGGGCGUAAAGCGCGCGUAGGCGGUUUUUUAAGUCUGAUGUGAAAGCCCACGGCUCAACCGUGGAGGGUCAUUGGAAACUGGAAAACUUGAGUGCAGAAGAGGAAAGUGGAAUUCCAUGUGUAGCGGUGAAAUGCGCAGAGAUAUGGAGGAACACCAGUGGCGAAGGCGACUUUCUGGUCUGUAACUGACGCUGAUGUGCGAAAGCGUGGGGAUCAAACAGGAUUAGAUACCCUGGUAGUCCACGCCGUAAACGAUGAGUGCUAAGUGUUAGGGGGUUUCCGCCCCUUAGUGCUGCAGCUAACGCAUUAAGCACUCCGCCUGGGGAGUACGACCGCAAGGUUGAAACUCAAAGGAAUUGACGGGGACCCGCACAAGCGGUGGAGCAUGUGGUUUAAUUCGAAGCAACGCGAAGAACCUUACCAAAUCUUGACAUCCUUUGACAACUCUAGAGAUAGAGCCUUCCCCUUCGGGGGACAAAGUGACAGGUGGUGCAUGGUUGUCGUCAGCUCGUGUCGUGAGAUGUUGGGUUAAGUCCCGCAACGAGCGCAACC
rnacentral:rRNA from 1 species